UUAUUCUUUUAUAAUUUUCUUCUUUUCUCUCUCUUUCUUGGUCUUCUUUCUCCUUCCUUCUUCGUUACUCUUUCUUUCUUCUUCUUUCUUCCAUAUGCUUCCUGAGCACCCAGACACACGGAGAGGGAGAAACAGAGAGUGAGCGAGAGGAUGAGGGAGAGAGAGAGAUGCUGACAGGGAGAGACAGAGAGAUGAGAAGAGAGAGAGAGAGACCGAGCAUAAGAGAGACGAAGAGGGAAGAGAGGCCGUGACCCGUCGACCCAGGUGGCGCAAAUCCGAUGGCCAGAUUUGAAAUCCGGCGAGGCAGUGUGAUUCCGGUGGAUGCCCAGGCCGAUUUUCGGCGAGCCAGUGAGCCCGUAACCCGAAGAGACUCGGAGACCCGAGUGACCGUGACCCAUGCGACCCGCAACCCGCCAGAGCCGAGAGCCCUGAUGCCCGAUCCUUCUCCUUCCUUCUUCCUUUUCUUCUUUGUCUAAGUCGCAGAGAGAGAGGAAUCAUGAGAUGAAAGAGACCGAGUGAGAGGGAGAUUCAGAGAACAGAGGGGGAGAGUGGGUUCCAGAGAGGGAGAUUGGGAGAGAGAGCGAAUCAGAGGAUAGACUCGGAGGGAGGGAGAGAGCUGAACAGAUAGAGAGAGAUCGACGGGACAGGGAGAGGACUUGACCUCCGGGAGGUCCAAUUUUUCGGCCAAUCACGGUGGGUCGGAGCAGAGGACACCGGCAGAGCUGGAGGACACGAUUCCCGGCAAGAUUUUCAGUGGAGACUAGAUGUGAUUUCCGGUAGAUCUUCCUACGUAUAAACAGAAACCCAUGAAGGUAAAAGCUCGAUUCUGACGCUAAGGACAAGUUCAGAUGACCUAGUGAGACGAUGUCAUUUCUUGAUAUUGCGUAAACCUCGCUAAAAGCAAUAGAUCAUUGUGGAUCGACUAGAUGUUUACUUUGUAUAGUAAGUUCUUCAGAGUUCAAGGCGCUGUAAAGAAUUAUUAAUAGACAGAAUUUAUUAAAUAUUAAAGUUAAAAUCUAGAUGUUGU